CUAUGUCAUUUAUUUCUGCUCUGAUCUUUAUGAUUCCCUUCCUUGAGGUUUCACUUGUAAUUGUGUGUGUGUGUUUGCUGUUGUAAACUACCGUAAAUCCUGUGAUCCUGUGCAAACGAGAUUGGGUAGGAAGAAGUGAGUAAGUGAGUUACCAUCUAGUUGAGCAGACAGGUAAGCACUUCUCCGAAGGAAGCUGCCCCAGCAGCAGGGAAGGGGCGGUUUGGUCUGCAGAGGCAGAGCCUACUGGGCUCUGUUGUCCUUGGCCCCCCUGUCCUCUUGUCUGGCUGCAGGAGAAAUGCUGUCCGGUCCAGGGUUUGACAUCAGGGUGGAGGUGGUAGAGACAGUCCCCAGACCCAGGCAGUGUAGAUACCAGCUGCUGGAACCCACAGAGCUGUGAGAUGGCACUUGCCCCUUCUGAGCAGCCACAUUGCUAUAGACUCAUUGCCCCUCAAGUUAGCGCUUCCGGCUAGUUUGUACUUUGGUUGUGGCUCGAGUUAAGGGUUUCCUGUGGGCUUUUCUUGCAUACGAUGCAGAGGUAGAACACUGAAGGUCACAGUUCAUAGCCUGUAGGAAUUUGUAACAAGAGACGACAGUGAUACUGAUCCCUGUCACUGUGCCGGUGCUCAGUGUGGGGCGGACUUCGUGCUCAUUCUCAUCAGGCUUGUGAGGCAUAGGGAUUCCCACAUGACUGACGUGGAAACUCCAGUUCGAAGAGCAGGAGUAAUGUGGCCCUCAGCUGGCAGGUGAUGGCCCCACGUCAGGACCCAGCUCUGCUCAUCCAGAGCCUGCGUCCCAGGCAUCCCACGUGGCUCCUGCUGGUUUGCAAAGAACAGGAUUCGUGGAAGAGAUCCUAGUAGUCCAGGGGUCUGGACGAACCAGCGUUCAACACGGAGCCAGGUUGAGGAGCUAGGGCACUGGUCACUGUCUGGGGUGACCCCACAUGUACUCCCGUGGUGGCCGGGUGAAGGCACAGAGCCCCGGUGGGGACUCAGAGGAUCUGUCAGGGCUUUGUUAGCUGCAGGCAAGCAGGGGAAAGGGCCUACUCACGAAGCCUCUGGUCACAUGGUGACACGGCCUCAUGUCCCCUUCCGCCCCCCCUUGGUGGUUUCAUGUUCCCAGUAGAGUGAAUAAGCCCAGUUUCACUGUUAAAAGUAGCAGAGAGAGAAGGCUCUGUUUCUGCCCCUUAGCUUUUCAACGUUGAGGGCAGACCCUGGGCGGGUUUAGGAAGAAAACAAAACCAGUGACCUUAGUGAGGGGGUUUCUGAAAAGAAAUCUCUACCACUCAGGAAGCAUGUUUUAAAUUUUCAGCACUUUAUACAAAGAACAUAAACUAUAGGAUCCAAAAUAUAAAAACCCUGAAUUUUAUCAUGAUCUUUUGCUAACAAAUGCCACCUAAUAAAUUUCUUUUUUGAACAUUAGAUUAACUUCUUUUUUCCUUAAAAAACAAACUGCCUGAAUCAUUUUAGGUCUGCUGAUUCUCUUUAGUGUCUCUUUAGUCAUAGAAAGAUAAUUUGUCGUGUCAAGACAAUUGAUGUAUUCUUCUUUGAAUUCCUCUAACUAAUACUAAUAAAAGUUUGGUUUGCUGGCAGCAGAUUCUUCAGUUUGAAUUGUAAAUAGUGACAGCUGUGGGGCAUUUUGCUCUGAAAGAGAUACUGUCUCAUAAUUACAUAAGAAGUUGGGGUGUAUUUCUUGAGCAUGAAUAGGAUCAGCAUGUUUGGGUCUCUUGAAGAUAAUGUGCCGGGAGCUGAAAUGCUCAGAGCUGUUGCUGCAUCCUUUCCUCUUCUUAAAUAUACUUGAAGAUGGCUGUUUGUAUUUCUGCAGAAGAAUUGAAGGAACAUUUGCUGGGAGAUAAUGCUCUCGACAGAAUCUUCACUUUGGGUAAUUCUGAAUAUCCCGUUAGCUGGGACAAUGAGGUCAGACUUUGGACAUUUCUUGAAGAUCGAGCCUCGCUUCUUUUAAAAACAUACAAAACAACUGUUGAGGAAGACAAAUCCUUCUUGAAAAACCACGACCUUUCUGUUCGUGCAGCAAUGGCCAUCAAGCUGCGCUUAGGAGAAAAAGAGAUUUUGGAGAAAGCGGUGAAGAGCGCGGCUGCGAACCGGGAGCACUAUCGCAAGCAGGUGCAGGUGGGGGCCCCGCUGCCCCGGUGUGAGGAGAGUGGCACGGGGGGCGCCAGGCUGCCCCUGGCCUUGCGGAGCCUGGAGGAGGAGGCCGGGGUGCAGGAGGCCCUCACCCUCACCGAGGCCGUCGGCAGGGCGAAGGCUGUGGAAAACGGGCUCGUGAAUGGUGAAAACUCUAUCCCCAACGGGACCAGGUCAGAAAAGGGAAAUUUAAAUCAGGAGGAAAGUAAAAGAGCGACUGAAGGCACCAAAGAAUCUUCUUCAGAUAGCACUGAGCGUGGUAGAGAGCAGUAGCCCUGAGAGGAGGUGCCGUCUGGUGGGGGUGGGGGGGGGUGAGUUGAGCAAGUUUAUGAACCGUCCAUUUACAUUGCUGUGUUUUCUUGUUCACAUUUUUCUUUCUGCAGAGAGGAAAAGAUGUUUUUGCUGCUUUAUAUAAAAACGAUUUUUUUUAAGUUAUUUAAAAAAAUCUAGCUUCCCUCUUUGAUUAAGAUUGCCAUCUUGCUUCUGGGCAAACGAACAGGUUAUCAAGCCACCAAUGAGGUGCUUUGGAAGACUCUGUAGACCCAUUGUGGGCAAAUGUGUUUUCUUCCUGGGGAAGAAUGCAGUUCUGCUCUCAGCUGUGCUUUUGUAGGCCUGUCAUCUUGACAACCAGGACGACAGCAGGACUGGGUGUCGGCGCUCUGGGGGCUCAGCGUGGGGGAGGGGGGCGUUGUACAGCACAGAGCGGGCUUGAGAUCUGGCAACUUGAGGGUUGGGGUGAAACUUUUUUUUUUUUUCCUAAGAAAAUAACACCCCAGUACUGAAAGAAAAGUGAAGGUGGCAACCUUAUUUUUAAUAGUUUUAAAUGUUGAUGAUAAUCCUAAUUAUAUAAAUACACACACACACACACCUAGUGAUUUCUAAAGAUUUGUUUACCUUUUGUGUUUUGUUUUACUGUGUUAAGAACUUGUCCUUUCUCCUUGAAUCACAGUAGGACAUGCAUCAUCCUCCUAAUUUUAAAUGUUGGCUCUGAUUUUAAAGUGUUGCAUUUGAUUUCCCGCGUCGGUCCAGCUCGCCAUGGCAGUGUUCGAAGUGAGGCGGCUCCCUGGCUUUUUUGGUUUUCACAACAAGCUAGAGAUUUUCAAAGCUACACUUUUGAGUAAAAAGCCUUAUUAAAAGGAAAACAUGAUUAAUA